CUUCACCGACCCCAGCCAGAGCGGGUCGUCCUGCGGACGCUGGUCCCCGUAGACCGCGAGCAGCGCCUGCGCCUC
rnacentral:antisense_RNA from 1 species